UGUUUAUAUGUUUCUUUUGGUUUUGUAUUGGUUACUGUUUAUGUGUUUCUUUUGGUUCUGUUGUAUCAUUUACUGCUUCUUUGUGAUUAUCCCUGUUUUAAAGAAAUGUUAAUGUAGAUUUACACACAUAGGGAACAGACCCAUAUCUUUUUCUCCCCUUUUUUUUG